UUCCUCUCAGGGUCGCACCUGGAGAGUUUGCAGUACUCUACCAGUCUCGACUAUGGGAGGGAGAGUCAGGCAGAGGCCUACCCAUUCCAUUCCUAGCUUGGCCAGUGGCUAGUGAGUGGAAGGCAAACUACUUCCAGU
rfam:Ornithorhynchus anatinus chromosome 3, whole genome shotgun sequence.